rnacentral:rRNA from 1 species
UUGGAGGGCAAGUCUGGUGCCAGCAGCCGCGGUAAUUCCAGCUCCAAUAGCGUAUAUUAAAGUUGCUGCAGUUAAAAAGCUCGUAGUUGAAUUUCGGGACCAUCAUGUCGGUCGUGCCUCGGUACGUACUGGUAUUGUUGGUUUCUCCCUUCUGACGAACCAUGAUGUCAUUUAUUUGGUGUUGUGGGGAAUCAGGACUGUUACUUUGAAAAAAUUAGAGUGUAUAAAGCAGGCUCACGCUUGAAUACAUUAGCAUGGAAUAAUGAAAUAGGACGUUUGAUUCUAUUUUGUUGGUUUCUAGGAUCGACGUAAUGAUUAAUAGGGAUAGUUGGGGGCAUUAGUAUUCAAUUGUCAGAGGUGAAAUUCUUGGAUUUAUUGAAGACUAACUACUGCGAAAGCAUUUGCCAAGGAUGUUUUCAUUAACCAAGAACGAAAGUUAGGGGAUCGAAGACGAUCAGAUACCGUCGUAGUCUUAACCAUAAACUAUGCCGACUAGGGAUCGGAUGAUGUUAAUUUUUUAAUGACUCAUUCGGCGCCUUACGGGAAAC